rnacentral:rRNA from 1 species
GACGAACGCUGGCGGCGUGCUUAACACAUGCAAGUCGAACGGGAUUUAGUAGACAGAAGCCUCUGCUAAAGAUUACUAAUGAGAGUUGCGACCGGGUGAGUAACGCGUGAGCAACCUGCCUAUGACAGUGGGAUAGCCUCGGGAAACCGGGAUUAAUACCGCAUAAAAUCGUAGAAACACAUGUUUUAACGGUCAAAGAUUUAUCGGUCAUAGAUGGGCUCGCGUCUGAUUAGCUAGUUGGUGAGAUAACAGCCCACCAAGGAGACGAUCAGUAGCCGGUCUGAGAGGAUGAACGGCCACAUUGGAAAUGAGACACGGUCCAAACUCCUACGGGAGGGAGCAGUGGGGAAUAUUGCACAAUGGGGGAAACCCUGAUGAAGCGACGCCGCGUGAACGAAGAAGGUAUUCGUAUCGUAAAGUUCUGUCCGAUGGGAAGAGAAUGACAGUACCAUAGAAGAAAGCUCCGGCUAAAUACGUG